rnacentral:rRNA from 1 species
UACGGAAGGUGCGAGCGUUGUUCGGAGUGAUUGGGCGUAAAGCGCACGUAGGCGGAUUUCUAAGUCGGGGGUGAAAUCCUGGAGCUCAACUCCAGAACUGCCUUCGAUACUGGAAGUCUUGAGUCCGGGAGAGGUGAGUGGAACUGCGAGUGUAGAGGUGAAAUUCGUAGAUAUUCGCAAGAACACCAGUGGCGAAGGCGGACUCACUGGUCCGGUACUGACGCUGAGGUGCGAAAGCGUGGGGAGCAAACAGG